AGAGACAGCAGCCGCCGCGGUAUACGGAGGGGGCUAGCGUUGUUCGGAAUUACUGGGCGUAAAGCGCACGUAGGCUGCUUUGUAAGUCAGAGGUGAAAGCCCGGGGCUCAACCCCGGAUGUGCCUUUGAGACUGCAGGGCUAGAACGUCGGAGAGGUGAGUGGAAUUCCGAGUGUAGAGGUGAAAUUCGUAGAUAUUCGGAAGAACACCAGUGGCGAAGGCGGCUCACUGGACGACUGUUGACGCUGAGGUGCGAAAGCGUGGGGAGCAAACAGGAUUAGAUACCCCCGUAGUCCCUGUCUCUUAUACA
rnacentral:rRNA from 1 species